rnacentral:rRNA from 1 species
UGCCUAGAUGAAUUUGGUGCUUGCACCAAAUGAAACUAGAUACAAGCGAGCGGCGGACGGGUGAGUAACACGUGGGUAACCUGCCCAAGAGACUGGGAUAACACCUGGAAACAGAUGCUAAUACCGGAUAACAACACUAGACGCAUGUCUAGAGUUUAAAAGAUGGUUCUGCUAUCACUCUUGGAUGGACCUGCGGUGCAUUAGCUAGUUGGUAAGGUAACGGCUUACCAAGGCAAUGAUGCAUAGCCGAGUUGAGAGACUGAUCGGCCACAUUGGGACUGAGACACGGCCCAAACUCCUACGGGAGGCAGCAGUAGGGAAUCUUCCACAAUGGACGCAAGUCUGAUGGAGCAACGCCGCGUGAGUGAAGAAGGGUUUCGGCUCGUAAAGCUCUGUUGGUAGUGAAGAAAGAUAGAGGUAGUAACUGGCCUUUAUUUGACGGUAAUUACUUAGAAAGUCACGGCUAACUACGUGCCAGCAGCCGCGGUAAUACGUAGGUGGCAAGCGUUGUCCGGAUUUAUUGGGCGUAAAGCGAGUGCAGGCGGUUCAGUAAGUCUGAUGUGAAAGCCUUCGGCUCAACCGGAGAAUUGCAUCAGAAACUGUUGAACUUGAGUGCAGAAGAGGAGAGUGGAACUCCAUGUGUAGCGGUGGAAUGCGUAGAUAUAUGGAAGAACACCAGUGGCGAAGGCGGCUCUCUGGUCUGCAACUGACGCUGA